rnacentral:rRNA from 1 species
AACGAACGCUGGCGGCAGGCUUAACACAUGCAAGUCGAACGCCCCGCAAGGGGAGUGGCAGACGGGUGAGUAACGCGUGGGAAUCUACCCCAUCUCUACGGAAUAACUCAGGGAAACUUGUGCUAAUACCGUAUACGCCCUUUGGGGGAAAGAUUUAUCGGAGAUGGAUGAGCCCGCGUUGGAUUAGCUAGUUGGUGGGGUAAAGGCCUGCCAAGGCGACGAUCCAUAGCUGGUCUGAGAGGAUGAUCAGCCACACUGGGACUGAGACACGGCCCAGACUCCUACGGGAGGCAGCAGUGGGGAAUAUUGGACAAUGGGCGCAAGCCUGAUCCAGCCAUGCCGCGUGAGUGAUGAAGGCCCUAGGGUUGUAAAGCUCUUUCACCGGUGAAGAUAAUGACGGUAACCGGAGAAGAAGCCCCGGCUAACUUCGUG